UCCCUGACAAACCCUGAUUUCCAUGUCUAACGCUUGAUCGUCCGUCUUAUUUAAAAAAAUUAUAAAAAAAAUUAAAAAGAUAAGUCACGCAUAAAAUAUUAAUCAUGUUUUAUCAUCUAACAAUAAUAAAAAUACGAAUUAUAAAAAAAUUUCAUAUAAGACGGAUAGUCAAAGUUAGACACGUAAACCCAGGAUUUGAUUUUUU
rfam:Oryza sativa (indica cultivar-group) chromosome 11, whole genome shotgun sequence.